CAAUAGCGUAUAUUAAAGUUGUUGCAGUUAAAAAGCUCGUAGUUGAACUUCAGACCUGGCCGGGCGGUCUGCCUAACGGUAUGUACUGUCUGGCUGGGUCUUACCUCUUGGUGAGCCGGCAUGCCCUUCACUGGGUGUGUCGGGGAACCAGGACUUUUACCUUGAGAAAAUUAGAGUGUUCAAAGCAGGCCUAUGCCCGAAUACAUUAGCAUGGAAUAAUAAAAUAGGACGUGCGGUUCUAUUUUGUUGGUUUCUAGAGUCGCCGUAAUGAUUAAUAGGGAUAGUUGGGGGCAUUAGUAUUCAGUUGCUAGAGGUGAAAUUCUUGGAUUUACUGAAGACUAACUACUGCGANANCAUUUANCAAGGAUGUUNUCAUUNA
rnacentral:rRNA from 1 species